rnacentral:rRNA from 1 species
AUGAACGCUGGCGGCGUGCCUAACACAUGCAAGUCGAACGGAGAUUAGACGCUGACGAGAUUCGGUCAAAUCUUGUUUAAUCUUAGUGGCGGACGGGUGAGUAACGCGUGGGCAACCUGCCUCAUACUGGGGGAUAACAGUUGGAAACGACUGUUAAUACCGCAUAAGCGCACAGAGUCGCAUGACUCAGUGUGAAAAACUCCGGUGGUAUGAGAUGGGCCCGCGUCAGAUUAGCCAGUUGGCGGGUAACGGCCCACCAAAGCAACGAUCUGUAGCCGGACUGAGAGGUCGGACGGCCACAUUGGGACUGAGACACGGCCCAAACUCCUACGGGAGGCAGCAGUGGGGGAUAUUGCACAAUGGAGGAAACUCUGAUGCAGCGACGCCGCGUGAGUGAAGAAGUAUUUCGGUAUGUAAAGCUCUAUCAGCAGGGAAGAAAGGCUCGCAAGAGAGAUGACGGUACCUGACUAAGAAGCCCCGGCUAACUACGUGCCAGCCGCGGC